GAUGAACGCUGGCGGCGUGUCUAAUACAUGCAAGUCGAGCGAACAGACGAGGAGCUUGCUCCUCUGACGUUAGCGGCGGACGGGUGAGUAACACGUGGAUAACCUACCUAUAAGACUGGGAUAACUUCGGGAAACCGGAGCUAAUACCGGAUAAUAUAUUGAACCGCAUGGUUCAAUAGUGAAAGACGGUUUUGCUGUCACUUAUAGAUGGAUCCGCGCCGCAUUAGCUAGUUGGUAAGGUAACGGCUUACCAAGGCAACGAUGCGUAGCCGACCUGAGAGGGGGGGUCGCCAACCUGGGAGCUGAGAAUGGGCCCAAACCCCGAGGGGGGGAAGCGGGAGGGACUUUUCCGAAAGGGCGCAAAGCCUAAGGGAGAAACCCGGGGGGAGGGCUGAGGGUUUUGGGAUGGGAAACUUUUGUAAUUGGGAAAAAAAAAAUGUUAAAGUACCUUGGCAGGUCUGGACGGUACCAAAACAAAAAGCCCCGGCUAACUCCGU
rnacentral:rRNA from 1 species